rnacentral:rRNA from 1 species
GUCUGUGGCCAUAUCACCCCGAAUGCACCCAAUCUUGUCUGAUCUCGGUAGCUAAGUAGGGAUGGGCCUGAUUAGUACUUGGAGGGGAGAAAAGGAGCCCACUGGAA